rnacentral:sRNA from 1 species
UUCGGGGCAUCUGGAUAAAUGGUUAGCAUCAUUGUGGUCCGGUCCUUGCGGCCCUCCUGGAGGCCGGGACCUGGGGGUCCAGCGGGGGCCUGGGUUUGCAGGAGACAGGAAGGGGCUAAAGGGGCAGAAGCAUGCAGGGGCUUCACCUGCAGGAGGAGUCGGGUCUUUCACAGCUGCCCGGCCACCCUCGGAGUCUGAGAGGCCAUCACACCUUUCCCUCAUGGUGCCAGCUGGACCCUCCACGCUCCUUGCCUCCUUGUGUGUCAUGUGGCAGCCAUAGUCACCCCCACCCUGUGGCGCAUUUUGAGCUUCUGGGGAGCUCAGCACACACAGCUCCUGUGAAAGUGCCAGUGCCAGCUGCUGGACCCUGCUGUGCCCCCGGCAUCACCCCUGUCCUCUGAGACCUCUGACUCUGCCCAGCAAGAGGGGCAGGGUCGGGAAGAAGGGGGUGUGGGGCCUUUGGAAGCCGGGCCCAGGCAGUGAGGCGGAAACCAGGCCGGGCUCAGCAUAGCGAGCUCCUCCUGGUGGAGGCACUGGUGUCCGGGGGCAUCAGUGGCACAGAGAAGGUUCCGGGCUCCAUCUCCUGAACCUGUCUGGAAGAGCCCAGCUGCUCCCAUGGACCUGCGACCUGCUGCCCGGGGCCGGGGGUCUGGGCCUCUUUGCAUCGGCUCAGGGGAGGCCAUCCGUGGCUGGGCGAGGGUCAGCUGCCAUUUGGAUGCCCCGGCAGCCGUGGGGCUCUCGCCUCUGCCAGAGCAGGCAGCUUCCGAGGUGGCAAGGGCUUUGGGGAGCAGCGGGAGGCCUGGGGGUGCCGAGUGUUCCGGAAAUAUUGCUGGUUCUUCUGGGGCAGUCCUGGCCCGCUGGGCAGAGCAGAACAUGGCCUCUGCUCAGUGGCAGGGUGGGGCGCCGGGGUGGCGGAAACAUGAGGCCGCGUGAAGUGGGCAUCAGUUGGGCCCUGGGGUUUGGGCUCGGAGGCCUGCGGGGCAGUGGUCCCCCGGCUCUUGCUGCCCUGCGGUUCAGUUCCUCCUGCUGCCGCGCCUGUGUGCCCCGUGGGUCGGCAGGUCUCGUGAGAGGCCUCAUCUGAGACAGGAAGCCCCACGCAGGCUUCUGGAAGGCUCCUCCUGGCUCUCAGCCACCCCGUUGGCUGAGUGAGACUGACCCCAGCAGCUUCCUGAGGCGUGGCAAGGCCCCCAGGGACACCUGGCGGCCACACACCUGGGGGACCCCACCAAGGCUGAGACCCAGGUUGGGGCCCCCUGCACUGCUGAGGUUUGGGCCUCAUUCCCCGCUGGCCCUCUGUCUGCUUGGGAGCUUUCCAGGUGGGGAUGUUCGUAGGGACAGUGGUAUGGCAUCCAGUUGCCUCCUCCCUGAAACCUUCAACCCGAACCUCACUCAGCACAGAGAAUUGGGGGCCAGACCACUGCGGACGGAGGCGUCCUGCUGACACAGCCCCUGUCGGGAUGUGGGAAGGGGCGGAGGCACAGCUCCAGCCCCAGCGUGACCGUGUGUGUGGGAAAACCGUCCGGGUACUUGGGGACAGCAGGGACAUUUCCAGUGUGGGUGUGUGAGAGCCACCUCCCCCAUGCGGUGGGCCCUGGUGUGAUGCUGGCAGCUGGGACAAGAGUCCUUCUCUCAGCAGAUGCUGCUGUGCUCCUGGGGCACAGUCUGUGGUUUUCUUUUGUGUGCAUGUCCAUGCUUGGGUGUGGUGUGCGUGUCCUUGCGUGUGUGUGUCCUUGCGUGUGCACGUGUGCGCUUGGGGGCAUGUGUGUGUCCUUGCGGGUGCACAUGCGUGCUUGGGGGGUGUGUGCAUGUCCUUGUGGGUGCACGUGUGUGCACGGGUGUGUGUGUGUGCGUCCUUGCAUGUGCACGGGUGUGUGUGUGUGUGUGUCCUUGCGGGUGCAUGUGCAUGCUUGGGGGGGCGUGUGCGUGUCCUUGCGGGUGCACGUGCGUGUUUGGGGGUGUGUGUGUGUCCUUGCGGGUGCACGUGUGCUUGGGUGCAUGCAGGUGUGUGUGUAUAUGCAUGUCUGUGUGUGCACAUGUGUGCAUGCAUGUUUGCCCCAGAGCGGAAGGAAAGUGAAUGCAGCCGAAUGAUCACAUCUGCAUGAGGGGUGUUCACUGUUGUGUCUGCCCAUCUUUCUGUGGGCUGAAAUAUUUCAAAAUAAGAAAUUGAGGGGAAAGAGAAAGGAGGGUGCUUGUCUCUCUCCUUGCCUUCUGCUCCUCCUCCCUGUGUUGGAGGCUCCAGGACGCCUCACCCCAGGUUGACGUCAUUUUUGGCCUGCACACGCAGCCCCUUUCUUUUCUCCGGGCACCGGCGAGGAGGCUGGGGACGGGGGACGGGAAUUCCCCCAGGGGCCAGGCCUUGACUGCCCUGCAGGGCCCUCGCUGUCGCUUUUUUCCCUCACAAUGUCUCAUCCCUCAACCUCUGUUUUCCAUCCAAAGGCAUCUCUGUGAAUCCACCUGGCGCGGGAGCGGCGCUGAUGCCACAAAUGCGGGCCAGACUGCUGGGCAGAGCUCACCAGUCAACAGGGCUGGGUGUGGCUGAGGCAGCCCUGAGACCCCAGGUCCUGCCGCUGCGGCUCCCGCUUCCCGGCCCCUCUUCUCUGUGGGACGGAAAGUCUCUCCUGGGGAAGGCUCGGAGCUGAGCUGAUGGGUGUUUGAAGUUUCUCCACACACAGGGUCCCCUGGCAUCUCCCUCUGUCAUUUGGUGGCCAAGUGACAUUUCCCAGCAGCCCUACUGCAGAUGCCGUAUGUUCUCGGGGUGACUCAGGUGGCCUGGGCCCUUCUGGUAGCCGCUUAUCCAGCCUGACCCCAGGCUCCAGCGAGGCUGCUCCGGAUCGGGGCUGCUCUGCCCAGGUGAAGGGCGGGUGUGGGAGGUUUCCGUAGAGGCCGCUCUCCCCUGCUACCCCGGCCCCGUGUGGGACCCUGGGUCUGUCUGACAGACAGAGGCUUCCUGAGCCAGGCCCUUGGGAUGACGGGUAGGAAUCUAGGGUGGAUCCACAGGAAUUAGAGAUUUUAUCAGUUUUGUUUUCCAAAUGAAGUCAACAGCCCCCUAGCAGCGUGAUGCUGAUGGUCCUGUCCCCUAUGGCCCCCAUCCUGGAGGCACCCUGGUGUGGGCUGUGGGCCUGGGGGUCCUUGGCACUGUCCAGUAUGCGGACGUGCUAGCAGCCCACAUUUCCCCCAGUGACCACCAGGCUGUGCCCUGGACAUGGCCGUCUGAGCACGUCGUGUCCUGGGGCCCCGUCUGGUGGUCAGGCUCAGUGCGAGCCCAUCAGGGGUACUCUGCCCGUCUGGGAAGACAGUGUGGCUUCUGGGGGCUCCUCCAGGGAGGCUCUGGACCAGGCUGCAGAGGAUGCCAACCUGCCACAGGCUGGCCUGGCCGCUCAUGGACAUGGCGGCUCCUGGCCCAGGGUAUCUCCCCUGGGAACCCAGGCGUGCUCGCGGCCCUCUGGAAUGCAGGCGCUGGGGCUGUGGGGGGCCGCCUGGCGCCUGGCAUCUUGUUAUAAAAAGCUCUGGCGCAGGCUGCUCUCAGUGGCUGCAGGAUGGUUGUGGCUUUGGAAGGGCAGCCCCCAGGGGCCUUGGUCAGCCACCUGUGGGCCCCACUGCCGAGCCGUGGUCAGCCCUCACUGGCUGCCCUGCCAUGACGCUGCUGAGGCCAGUGCAGCUCCUGCCAGACUCCCGUGACAAGUCAUAACAGAGCCACAUGCCGGGUGGCUGCAGGGCCCUGUCGCCCACAGCAGUCGAGGUCUCAGGUGUGUCUGGAGGGCAGCCCUGGAGACACCUGGGACAGGCGUACCUCUGGCAGGCGCACCCUGGCUGUCACCCAGUGUGGGCAUGGUGGGGUUGCUGGAAUGCUGUGUAGGGCAGGAGGCAGCAGCCCGUGGCUGGGUGGGAGACUGCAGGGUAGACGGGAUGGGACCAGGAGGGUUGUUCCCAGGGACUGCCAAGCCAUCCCCAGGUGUCAAGAGUGUGAGGUAGGAGUGGGAGCCCAGAGCCGGCUCCAGGCCACCCCAACUCCCGACAGCUCUCGGCUGUUCUGUGUGAGGGGGGACGGGGCCGAGUGUGGGUCGGCGCAGUGCUGAGGUGUCUCACGUACCCCAGCACUGUGCUGAAUGCAUUGAAAUCACUGCCCAGGGCUCCGCGAGCUGCACGGCCCGGCUUUGUCAAUUUCAUUGCUGUUGAUGCCAAUUAGGGGUGACGCUGUCCCUCCCGCAUCCCAGGGUGGGCAGAGGGAGGGGCCGGCUUGUUCCCUGGGGGCAGGCGUGCAUGGAGUCAGCCUGGCCAUGGAGCUGUGGCCAAGAGGGCAGCGGGGGCAGCUGGACUGGGGUUUUUGCCGACGCUCUAAUUUGGCGGCUGUCGCCACCCCUCCCCCCCCACGGAGACCCUGACGUGGCCUGAGCCAGACUCCAGGGGCCAUGUGCCCUGCUGGGGAGCAGGGGCUCAGCAUCAGGUCUGGUGCACUGACUGGGAGAGGGGGGUCUCCAGCCCUGGACAGGCCCUGAGUGGGGUGGGGUCCCCCAGCUGCUGUGCCCAGCCCUGCCCCCAGGACCUGGCCUUGGCCCUGCGCUGGCCGGGGCCAGGGAGGGAGUGGGCCCAGCUCCCAAGUCUGUGUGACCACCUCGGCUGGGGCACUGACAGCCCGGGGUGCGGAGGGCCCAGCCCAUGACACCCGCCGUCAGCCGCGCCCUCUGCCUCCAGCCCGUGGACCGGGAGCCGGUGGUGUGCCACCCCGACCUGGAGGAGCGGCUGCAGGCCUGGCCAGCGGAGCUGCCUGAUGAGUUCUUUGAGCUGACGGUGGACGACGUGAGAAGACGCUUGGCCCAGCUCAAGAGUGAGCGGAAGCGCCUGGAAGAAGCCCCCUUGGUGACCAAGGCCUUCAGGGAGGCGCAGAUAAAGGAGAAGCUGGAGCGAGGUGGCUCUGAGGGUCCUGUUCCCCGACCGCUACGUCCUACAGGGCUGCUUCCGCCCCAGCGAGACAGUGGGGGACUUGCGAGACUUCGUGAGGAGCCACCUGGGGAACCCCGAGCUGUCAUUUUACCUGUUCGUCACCCCUCCAAAAACAGUCCUGGAUGACCACACGCAGACCCUCUUUCAGGCGAACCUCUUCCCGGCCGCUCUGGUGCACUUCGGAGCCGAGGAGCCGGCAGGUGUCUACCUGGAGCCUGGCCUGCUGGAGCAUGCCAUCUCCCCAUCUGCGGCCGACGUGCUGGUGGCCAGGUAAGUGCCGGUGGGUCUGGGGGCACCUCCCGUGGCGGCACUCACCACUCUGUGUCUUCGCCUCCCCACAGGUACAUGUCCAGGGCCGCCGGGUCCCCUUCCCCAUUGCCAGCCCCUGACCCUGCACCUAAGUCUGAGCCAGCUGCUGAGGAGGGGGCGCUGGUCCCCCCUGAGCCCAUCCCAGGGACGGCCCAGCCCGUGAAGAGGAGCCUGGGCAAGGUGCCCAAGUGGCUGAAGCUGCCGGCCAGCAAGAGGUGAGAGCUGCCAGCCUGAGGUGCCCACUCCGCCAGCCACAGGACCACCUCCUCUGCCAGCAGGAAUAAAGACUUGUGCAUCCCUC